AGUGUCCUCCUUGUGCGUGGCUUCCAUGGCCAUUGUGUAAGGUUGUAAAGGGAAGAAGGUUGAAUCCUAAUUGGUAUUUAGUUCUUGAUGUCAAGAGAUCAAGGUUUGUUGCCUUGUUGGUUCCAGUUUUCUUUCAAUUAUCCUUCUAUUAUGAUUUCUUCCAUUGCCGACUUUGGUCUAACAUCUUCCAUUGUUUUCUUGUUGGUGUUUGUGUCUAAAUCCAAACUUUGUGGCUAAUCUCCACAUCAUCUCGAGUAUUACAUUAGCCACAUUGGGAUUAAGGCACAACCCAGACUUCUAUGGAGGCAGCAGUGGGGAGUCUUCUGCAAUGUGCGAAAGCCUGACAAAGCAAAGCCAUGUGGAGYUAGAAGGCCCAUGAGUCGUGAACUUCUUUUCUUGGAGAAGAAGCAAUGAUGUUUUUUGGGGAAUAAGCAUCAACUAARUCUGUGCCAGCAACUGCGAUAAUACAGAGGAUACAGGCAAUAUCCAAAUUGAUUAGGCAUAAAGCAUUUGUAGGUGGCUUUUUAAGUCCCCCAUCAAAUCCCAGGGUCAACCCUAGAUAGGCAGUGGAAACUACCAAACUGGAACGCAGUAUGCGGAGAAGGAAUUUCCAAUGGAGCGAUGAAAAUGCAUAGAGAUCGAAAAGAACACCAAGGGUGAAAGCACUARGCUGGGCCGACACUGACACUGAGAUAUGAAAGCUAGGGAAGCAAAUAGGAUUAGAUAUCCCAGACUGUAAACCAUGGAUACUAAGUGCUUUGCGUAUUGACUAGUGUAUUGUAGUAGCUAACGCAUUAUCUUGCCUGGGGAGUACGUUCUCAAGAAUGAAACUCAAAGGAAUUGAUGGGGGCCCACACAAAAAUGGUYGAGAAUAUGGUAUAAUUUGAUGCAAAGCGAAGAACUUUCAAGGGCUUGACAUGUCAUGAACCCCCUUGAAAGAGGGUUGUCUCUAGGAAUGCAGAAACAGGUGGUGCAUCGCUAUCUUCAGCUGGUCCUAAGGUGUUGGGUUAAGUCCUGCAACGACCGCAACCUGCAUAUUUAGUUGCCAUCAUUGAGUUUGGAAACCUGAAGAGACUGUCGGCGAUAAGCUGGAGGAAGGUGAGGAUGACGUCAAGUCAUCAUGCCCCUGAUGCUCUGGUCGACACACAUUCUACAAUGGCRGGGAGAAAGGGUUACAAUUCCGCUAGGGUGAGCUAACCCCAAAACUCGUCCUCAAUUUGGAUUGUAGGUUGCAACUCGCCUGCAUGAAGCUGAAAUUGCUAGUAAUCGCCGAUUAGCCAUACGGUGGUGAAUCCUUUCCUGGGCCUUGUACACACCACCUGUCAUACUAUGGGAGGUGGCCAUGCCCGAAGUCGUAACCUUAACCACAAGAAGGGGGAUGCCGAGGACUGGGCUAGUGACUGGAGUGAAGUCACAACAAGGUAGCCAUACUAGAAGGUGCGGCUG
rnacentral:rRNA from 1 species